GCAAGACUCUCUUAAAAAGAGUCUCUGCCCCUUCUGUCAGCCAUCCGACUGAGUUGUAUUCAAAGCCAGAAUGCUGCUGUAUAUACUCUUCUGUUUGCUGCUUGUUGUGCAAGCACAUUUGAAUUGCCGAGUUCGUGAAACUAUCCAGCUUACAAACACGUUACUUGAAAGAAAAUUUGAAGACUGUGCGUGUAAUGAAACUAACCAUAAUAAUGCCUGUUUAAAAUGCUUUGUGGAACCCAAUCGAGGAAUACAAGAAAAACUGUCUACUAUGGGCAGUGAAGGUAGGCGUUUAUAUCGCUACCUUCAGCAAGUUCAACACUGGUGCACACCACUCUUUCCUUGUAAUGAAAUCUGCGAGGCUUCCCCAGGGAAUGUGAUUAAUUUCUUAACAUCAGUCCGAGCAGCUCUGCAAAAACUGGAGCGCCAAUAAUGGAAGGGGAAAAAUAUUAUUUAUUAUAUUUAUUCUCUAAAUAACAUAUAAAAGAUUUAAUAUAUAGAAACUGUAACAGAUAAUUUACUUAAAACAAUAAAACUGUAAUUUAUAUAACCCC
rnacentral:lncRNA from 1 species